CAGGGUGUAGCUCAGUUGCGCAGAGUGCCCGCCUUGGAAGCGGGAGGCCGCUGGUUCGAGUCCAGCCACCCUGA
rnacentral:tRNA from 1 species